rnacentral:lncRNA from 1 species
UUAUGAAUUCUUAAUAAAUUCUUUUAAGAAAGUAAGGGAUGGAGGACAAGAAAACCAACCGAGGAAGUAUGAGGACAAAAUGAGAUCACAAACAAAUUCAUAAAGGAAAAAAUGAGCAUGGAAAUAAGGAAAGGUCAAAAGACAUCAAAGUCAUAGACAAAUUUAUUUUUUUUCAGUAAGAGGAAAUGAAUUGAAAAUGCUUAAUGAAAAAAUAAGCAAGCAAGCACAUUCUACAAAGCAAGAAAAAAGGGAAUAAUUCCAAAAGGGAAAAAAAGAAAAUUAAAAAAGAAAAUAAUGAUGAAAAUUUGAACUGAAAAUAGAGGAAAAAUCAGAGCUCUCUAAAGAAAAACUACAACAAGCAAGAUUGUCCAAGUCCAGUAAAAAGAAAAAAGUCAGAAUAAAUGGUGAUGGCCUUGCAUGCAGAGGAUAAUGUUAGCAUCUUCUCUGUUUGACCAAGCUCUAAACACUCCAUAGCAUCUUCUUUUGCCACCCUCCCUGCUGUUGAAAAGAAUUGUUCUCCCUCCAUUCCUGCUCUAACUGAAAUGUUUUGGUAGCACUCCAGGUGAGGAGAGCACAGUAUGCCCUACCCAGUCCAGCGCAUGGCUGAAGUUCUUCACUACACUCCUGGACUCUGUGUGUUUGGUGAGAAUGUGACCCCAGAUUUGGAGAAAUAUAUUUUCUAAUUAAUGUCCUUGCUAUGACUUUUGAGUGUUUUCUAAAAGAUUGAAUUUAUUAUUUGAUUAAAGGGAAGGACAUCAACAGGGGCUUAUGAAUUAGUGUUAAGGAAUAUAGCCACCCACAGAAUUAGUUCUAGAUAACAGCCCCUCCCACCCAGGAACCCAAUCUACCAGUGGUGGUAUGAUUUGGGCAAGAGAUCCUUGGUGGACAUUACAAAAAUAUUACACGAGAUUAUGUGUUUUAGGCACCAUAUAAGUGGCAGUUAAUAUCUAACUCUAACUUUCAUAAUGCAAUACUGACAGAUUCUAGAAAAUCAUCACAGAUCAGAUGCCUAUCUUAGAACUAGAAACAUUUGUUAUAUUUUAAAGUUUCUAGCUAUAUUAUUGGGUGUAUUUUGCAGCAAGACAAGGCAAAACAGAGAGUGAGUCAGAGCGAUCAUAAGAAGGAAUGGUAGAAAUCUUGGAAUGUAUAACACUCAGAUCAUAUUCAAUUUGAGUUUAUCAGAUUGCCAGAAAAGCAUAUAGAAAUAGUUGUUUUCACCCUAUAAAAAGUCAAUCCAUGUGAAAGAGGAAAAACUAAACACCAAAAAAGCAACUUAACUCUGACAUUGAGUGAAUUUCUAUUCUAGAUUCCAGUGUCAUAUCCUGAAUGUUAUCUUUGACAGGACUGAAACUCUUUAGCUGCACCAACAUCAUUAUGCUGCACUUCCACAUCAACUCUUAACUACCACCUUUUCAAAUGCUCUGAAUCACAAAGUCAAUGCUCUAUUCACUUUCUUCUUGUUGUAUUGUCUCAUAGCUAAAGUAUCUCCCUGUGACCAGAUAUGCAGAUGACAUAAACAUUCAGACCCAAAUUUGUUUUGUAAUUAAAAAAAAAAAAACCCUUAACAAAUGGAUACCAUGGAAUAUUGAUAGUUAUUUCAAGAUAGACCACUUCUAAAUAACAUGGGCUUUAUCUUAUUCACCAGGUGCCAAGCCAAACUGCUCAAGUGAAUACAAAUGAUUU